GAUUGUCAAGAUUAAGGUUUUGACGACAUAGCUUGAAUAAAAGUUCAAGAGAGUUCAAUCCUUUCAGCAGCUUUGAUGCAAACUGUAAACACAUAAAUAAAG
rnacentral:sRNA from 12 species